AACGCACAUUGCGCCCCUUGGUAUUCCGAGGGGCAUGCCUGUUCGAGCGUCAUUUCACCAAUCAAGCCCCGCUUGGUAUUAGGCGUCUAGGCCGGACCCCCGCGUCCGGCCCGCCCGAAAUGCAUCGGCGAGGCACCGACCCCCGGCGUGUUAGAAUUUCGAAACGUCGGGAGCACCGGUGACCCUCCGCCGUUAAACCUUUACACAUCUCAAGGUUGACCUCGGAUCAGGUAGGAAUACCCGCUGAACUUAA
rnacentral:misc_RNA from 1 species